UGCCGCGCUCCUGUCCUCGUCCGCCAGGCCAAAGUUUCUCCUGGCCCUUCCCAGCUUCCGGCCCUUCGCUCCAGGCCAGGUCGCAGGGCCAGGCGGUGCCAGGAGCUCGCGAAUCCUCUGUUUACUGUUUGGUUUCCACGGUGACACGUAGGCGCCGACAGCUACUCCCGUCACCGCCCCGCAGCGCGGCCCCCACCCGGCGCCUUGACGUCGGCCCUCCGCUUCCGCUCUGCCCAUAUUUGGCUCAGCCACUGCGCAGCCGGCCCGGGGUAGGCUGAGGGCGGGACUCCCACCGCGCCCCGCCCCCGGUUCCUGCCCCGCCCCCUGGAAUGCUGGGCAGAGGCUCCGAGCCACGAGACCCCCGCCCCCAGCCCCGGGACCCACCUGGGCGGAGGCGAGGGCUGGGGCGCUGGGGGCCCAGAGAGAGGACGCCGCGAUUGAUGGAUGAGCUGUUUCCAGCAUUCCUGUGCGUCUGCUGGUUGAGGCUGCAGUCAAGAUUUGGGGCUGUCUCGUUUGUUGUGGGCUGAAAAUGAAGGCAACUCGGACUAAGAAGACGGCUGCUUUCCAACUGCCCUCUCGCCCUGCAGCCCGCGGAUUUGAGGAAGGGGCUGGGAUCCUUCCCCUUGCUCCCUGGUUGUUCUUGGGAGUUACAGCAGCCCCGCGGCAGCUCUGCCUCCUAGUGCACAUGUGAGGCAACGCGCCCUUCUCAUCCAGAAGCCUCCUCGCGGUGCUGCCAGUAAGGGAGUUUUUCUGUAUUCAUUCCGGUGGAACAAGCAAAACUUGACAACCCCAAGCCAAACCAAAACACACGAGCCAUUGUA